rnacentral:lncRNA from 1 species
UCCAUUCCCCAGCUAUGUAGUCUGUCCCUGGUUGGUAGUCUGUCUUGUAGGGCUAGCCACAGAUUGAACACUGUUUUUGGUCUGGCUUGGUUCUGUAUAAUUAAGUUCUUCCAUGGGACUGGUGGCACUUCUUGCAACUGCGACUGGUACAGCUGUUUAGUGGUGCAUUUCUGAUGUCUCCAGUUUUGGAUCCUUUGUAGGGUAUCCCUGGAUUGGAUGAUCUUCUUAACCAUCCAACUGGCUUGGGCAGGGAUUG